GUAAAAUUUUAUCCAAAUCAAACAAUUUUUCCAAUGUCAUUUUGGACUUUGGCAAAUUCAACUUAUUUGUAAUCACACCUGGGCUGUACAUAUAUGUUGCCUUGGUUUGCGGUCUAAGUUGGGCUGGCCUGAGCUCUGCUAAGCUCGUCUAACGUUUCGUCAGGGUCUGUACCCUAGCUGCACUGAUGAGGCCUGUAAGGCCUAAACGGAUCCGAUAAUUUAUAUAUAAAAUUCAGUACACUAAAUAAGUUUUGCUUUGUAUUAUUUUUUGCAGACGGUGCAGUUUUACGAGUCUCUAAUGCAUUACGCUUACAAAUAGUUACACCAAUUAAAAUACAUGAAAAAGAGAGCAGGUGGAGAACUCUGCAGAACACAAACAAUGUGGCCCAAGGACAAGAUUGCGAAGCAUAAUGAUAGUGUUCAUCUUGAAAAGCAUGGAGGUCAAUGACCAGAUGAAGAAAUGGCAAAGAAAAGCAUCUACAUUCAAGAAACUUUUUAUUAAAAAUAUAAUCAAAAUAUUGAAUAAUACGUAGUUAAUGUUUAUUAAUACUCAGAGAUGUAAAUUUAAUGUUUUAUCCUUGUUUAAGCUUAAAUUAUUCUUUGUAUAAUCUGUGUAUAAUCUCCAACCUGUUAGUGGAGGUUUCUUUCUCUGUUGGUUGAUGAUUGAAUAAAUAAAAUCAAAUGAACUACAAAUAAUGAAAACUGACUUAUUAUUUCAGGCUUUAAUUAACAUUUAUUUUGCAAUUCUCUCAUAAAUACAAUUUAAAUGACAAAGAAGAACAGACAAGAAGAUAAACUAUACCCCUUACACAAAAGAACUUGUAACAAAAAAUCAACAAAAUAGUUAACAAAGAUCAAUAUUAGCCUAGUUAUGUAUCAACUGAACACUACAUACAUUGACAACAGAAGAUAAUUUUAGACCUUUGUAAUUUUUACAUAGAAUAUGUGGGAUAUUGUCCUAGAAACAAAACCUCAGUUUUUGGUUUAGAUACAGCAGCAAUAUUUGACAUCACUGUACAUCACUCAGCGACAGGAGAAAUCCAGCACUUUCCAUGCUGUAGAAAAGCAAAUAAAUCUCAACAAUUAUUAUUAUUAGAAAAUAUGAAUAUUCAGUAGUUCAUUACAAACGAGUUUACCGUGGAAAUAAUUCAACAAUUUAGACAAUCACAAAAACAUGCACAACUGGUUUCAAUCACAUUAUAAAUUCAAAAAAAUUAGGGAUAAAAUUGAGGGCGCUACAUAGUAAAUAUAAAUAUUCAGUAGCAAAUUACGAGACCAAUUUACAGUGGAAAUUAUAAAUUA